UACGGAGGGUGCGAGCGUUAAUCGGAAUUACUGGGCGUAAAGCGCGCGUAGGCGGUCUGAUCAGCCGGUUGUGAAAGCCCCGGGCUCAACCUGGGAACGGCAUCCGGAACUGUCAGGCUAGAGUGCAGGAGAGGAAGGUAGAAUUCCCGGUGUAGCGGUGAAAUGCGUAGAGAUCGGGAGGUAUACCAGUUGCGAAGGCGGCCUUCUGGACUGACACUGACGCUGAGGUGCGAAAGCGUGGGUAGCAAACAGGAUUAGAUACCCUUGUA
rnacentral:rRNA from 1 species